AACCUUUACAAUGCACGCAAGUGUGAUAAGGGAAUCCCGAGUGCUCAAGCACAGCUUGGGCUUUUGCAGUGUGUAAAUAGCACGGCGAAUAAGUGGUGGGAAAGACUGGUGCCAGCCGCCGCGGUAACACCAGCGCCACGAGUGGCAACCACGUUUAUUGGGCCUAAAGCGUCCGUAGCAGGUUUCGUAAAUCUCUUGUGAAAUUGCCAGGCUUAACUUGGCAGAGUGCAGGAGACACUGCGAGACUGGAGACCGGGAGGAGUUAGAAGUAUUCCUUAGGGAGCGGUAAAAUGCUAUAAUCUAAGGAGGACUACCUGUGGCGAAGGCGUCUAACUAGAACGGAUCUGACUGUGAGGGACGAAAGCUAGGGGAGCGAACCGGAUUAGAUACCCGAGUAGUCCUAGCCGUAAACGCUGUGAGCUAGGUGUCGCGUAUUCUACGUGAAUGCGCGGUGUCGAAAGGAAGCUAUUAAGCUCACCGCCUGGGAAGUACGGUCGCAAGACUGAAACUUUAAGGAAUUGGCGGGGGAGCAC
rnacentral:rRNA from 1 species